rnacentral:lncRNA from 1 species
ACACCGCUCCACACUGUCCCGAAGCCCCGAGCGCCAGCCCGGACCCCCGGGACACGCCCCCCACCACACACACACACACACACACACACACACACACACACACACACUCCCCCCCCGACCCCCGGGACACACACCCCCACCCCACCCCCUGCACCCCCGCACCCCCGACCGCUGGGACACCCCCCACACACUCCCCUCCCCUCCAGCAACGCGCGGCGCUCCCAUCCCCCGGCAGCCCACCAGGUGGCGCUCGCUCCCCCAUUUCCCCCCCCCCUCCCGCGCCGACGCCCGUGACGUCAGCCGCCCGGCUCCAUUUGAGCGCCUCUCGGCAGCCGAGAACUCGGACUUCCCGUGUGGCUCACAACAUAACUACUCGGCGUUGCUUCUACAGUGGCUGUGGCUCGACCCCUGGCCUGGGAACUUCCAUAUGCCGCAGCCCCGCGGCGGCAGAUGGCACUCGUUCUGCCGCUUUUUCCUGGCUGUGUGCGAUGCCAUCGCAUAGAUGUCCCCGGGUCUGCGAAGUGCACUCACCUGUCAGUGGACCUUUAGGUGGCUUCCAGAUCUUGGCUCUGCCCCGCGGCGGCAGAUGGCACUCGUUCUGCCGCUUUUUCCUGGCUGUGUGCGAUGCCAUCGCAUGGAUGUCCCCGGGCCUUCGAAGUGCACUCACCUGUCAGUGGACCUUUAGGUGGCUUCCAGAUCUUGGCUCUGGUGAGUAGUGCGGCGACAGACAGAGGGGUGCCCGGGUCUGCUUCCGGGAAAGUUUGGUCCCGGUGAAAUGGAGCUGUUUGGAGGCCGGCUUCGGUCUUUGUGUGGGCCGGCCCGUGUAGGGCUGCUUGGCUGAGACUCUGUCGAGGAGGGAGGCCUUCAGCCACCGGGGCCUCACGGGGCCUACCCGUGCGGCACCAUCACAGAGCUCUCUGUCACUGCCCCUUGUGGGGGUGAGGGAAGGGGCGUGUUGGGGGGGGGCGUGUGUGUC